rnacentral:rRNA from 1 species
ACCAGACUCCUACGGGAGGCAGCAGUGGGGAAUAUUGCACAAUGGGGGAAACCCUGAUGCAGCGACGCCGCGUGAGCGAUGAAGUAUUUCGGUAUGUAAAGCUCUGUCAGCAGGGAAGAAGAAUGACGGUACCUGAAGAAGAAGCACCGGCUAAAUACGUGCCAGCAGCCGCGGUAAUACGUAUGGUGCAAGCGUUAUCCGGAUUUACUGGGUGUAAAGGGAGCGCAGGCGGUUCUGCAAGUCUGAUGUGAGAGCCCGGGGCCCAACCCCGGGACUGCUCUUGGAACUGCGUGGCUGGAGUGCAGGAGGGGCAGGCGGAAUUCCUGGUGUAGCGGUGAAAUGCGUAGAUAUCAGGAGGAACACCGGUGGCGGAGGCGGCCUGCUGGACUGCAACUGACGUUGAGGCCCGAAAGCGUGGGGAGCAAACAGGAUUAGAUACCCCCGUAAAA